rnacentral:rRNA from 1 species
GGAAGGAGAAGUCGUAACAAGGUUUCCGUAGGUGAACCUGCGGAAGGAUCAUUGUCGAAACUUGUCUAGUAGAUUGACUUGGGAACUUGUGCCAAUAAAAUUUAAUUCAUGCUUGUUGUGGUUUUGCUUUUUUGCGCUAUCAUGACUAACAACAAACCCCCGGCGCGGGUUGCGCCAAGUAUUACCAAAUUGAGAUUGUUACCCCAUGCUGCGUGUGUAGUUGUGUGGGAAAUAUAUCAUUUUUUUCAACAAAUGACUCUCGGCAACGGAUAUCUCGGCUUUCGCAUCGAUGAAGAAUGUAGCGAAAUGCGAUACUUGGUAUGAAUUGCAGAAUCCCGUGAACCAUCGAGUCUUUGAACGCAAGUUGCACCCAAAGCCAACAGGCUUAGGGCACGUCUGUCUGGGUGUCAUGCAAUCCGUAGCCCCUCUCCAUACGGGGUGGAUAUUGGCCUCCUGUCCCUAGCUUAUGGUGCAGCAGGUCUAAAUGCUUGUGAUUGGGAAUGGUUUUCUGGCGAUUGGUGGUUGUAUGUAUAGUGCAAAACAUCGUCCCAUUUGCCAUUGUUUGUCAAUAUAAGACCCGUUAGAGCCAGUGUGUUAUGCUUUAUGUAUCGUGAUCCCAGGUCGGUCGGGACUACCCGCUGAGUUUAAGCAUAUCAAUAAGCGGAGGA